AACACGAUUACUGGUCCACCUAGAAAUGCCGUGGAGCGAUUUAAGAGCCUCGGAAAUUUCCUUUAAGGUCAGGAGAGAAGCUGGUAACAGAUGGGGCGAAGGAGGAAAAGUUCUUUUUGCGGCACCCUCACGCCUUCCCAGCCCUUUCGCGGUUUACUCGCUCCCCGGAAAGCAGACUAGUCUCACUCUGUUGCCCAGGCUGGAGUGCAGUGGCGCGAUCUCAGCUUACUUCAGCCUCCGCCUCCCGGUUUCAAGUGAAUUCUCCAGCCUCAACUUCACAAGUAGCUGGGAUUACAGCCACUUUUUAUCUUCUCUCCUGCAAUCCAACCCACAUAAUUUCCAUGAAGAAAGCGGAGUGGUGUCAUUUUACAACAAGAAAACUGAGUUAAGAAUAAGUCCAAUCAAUUGCUAGGUGUUGAGACUGAAAUGGAAGUCUCUUAGUACUCCACCCAAGGAUUUUCAUAUUAAACAAUUAUCUUGUCAUCAUUUUA
rnacentral:lncRNA from 1 species